rnacentral:siRNA from 1 species
UUCAGUUCAAAUGCGACUGC